GAGCGACACGUGACAUUAAGUAUUAAAUGUAUAGCAGAGAUCGGGGUUCAUUCUCUGCGAACUGACAACCGUGUUGCAUGGUAUCAGGGACACAUUGAUGAAUCCAGAACUUCUGUAAUAACUCUGUGCAACUUUGAUGAGUAUAUCUUCGGAAUAAAUUGAUACU